CCUACGGGAGGCAGCAGUUAGGGAAUUUUGUCAAUGGGCGAAAGCCUGAACGAGUGACGCCGCGUGCGGGAUGACGCCUUUCGGGGUGUAAACCGCUUUUCCCAGGGACGAGGAUGGACGGUACUUGGGGAAUAAGUCUCGGCUAGCUACGUGCCAGCAGCCGCGGUAAU
rnacentral:rRNA from 1 species